GCCAGGCACAGGAUGGUCUCCUGUCAUCUCAGCUACUUGGGAGGCUGAGGCAGGAGGACUGCUUGAGCCCAGGGGUCCAAAGCCAGCCUGGGCAACAUGGUGAGAGUCUCUCUCUC
rnacentral:sRNA from 1 species